AGAAGAGUGAGCUUCAGGCUCUGUCCUAGUUUCCCCAGGUUAACAACUCAGCUGCAAAAUGGGACUCUUUAUCUGCCUUCCAAUGCAGGGGAUGUGGGUUUGACCCCUGGUUGAGGAACUAAGAUCCCACAUGCCAUGGAGCAAGUGAGCCCAUGCCCUGUAACUUGUUAACUCAUGAGCCACAACUAGAGGAGCCUGUGCACCAAAACGAAGACCCAGCACAGCCAAAAAACGGAGCUCUUAGUGCCCCCUCCCGGGGAGAAGAACAGGGACCAUGCGUUGAGCAUCCGUUGUAUACCAGAACCCCGGUCCAGGUAGAGGAUGGGUUUUCAGGGAGAAACAGGCUGAGGGAGGGGAGCUGCUUGCCUGAACCCACAGGGAAGAGCCACGGGCAGAUUCGGAACCAGUGGGGUGGGCCCUUCACAGCACCCUGCACCCCUUUCCUCCUCCUGCCUGCUUGUUCCCCACUCAUAGGGCUGCUUCAGGGGGCCACUGGCCCCUGCCCUCGUAGGACACUGCCAAGUCCGCUGCAUCCAUAGCGUGGGGCCAGGAAGAAAGAGAAAGAAAGAAAGAAAAUCACAUAGAGAAUGCUCAGGGAGCGUGACAAGCUCCACUGAUGGCACAAGGGCCCAGAGAAAGUGAUGAGUCUGAGACGGGGUGCUGGAGGGUUGUGAUGGAGGGUGCAGCUUCUGCACUCUGGAAGAUGCCUGCAUCCCUCCCACAAAGUGGCUCAGCUGCCCGAAGUCACCUCUUCCAGCCAUCCGGGAACAGAGGCAUGCACACCUGCCUUUAAAGGAUCCUGCAUCCCAGAGCUGGCUCCUUCACCUCCACCCUCCAGGCCUUGGACUUCCUACUGGGACCUCGCCCUCAGCAGUGGGUCACUGGCAUGGCCCUGAGGCCCCCACAUUCAGCAUGGAGCCUGGCCAACAGCAGCCUCGUGGUCUUUGAAGAUAAUAAAUUAAUAAACAAGUGCCCCUCCCUGACGCUCAGCA
ensembl:lncRNA